CUUCCCAGCAUGCCUGUCAGCCUGAGGUAAGCAGGAAACAACAAACUAAAUGAGCAACAAAGCUUCCAAUAUUGCAUGAACUAUGCAAAAUGUAUUCUAUCUUGUCUAUUAAAAUAAUAUAAAAUGUGUUUCUCCUCCAGGUCCAUAUCAAACAUGCAUUUGGAGAACUGUUCCCGGACCCUACUGACUGUUUUGAUCUCGGAAAAGUUAUUGGAACUGGCGGAUUUGGAGUAGUUCAUAAGGCAUGGGAUGUUACUUCAAUGAAAAAAGUGGCUAUAAAAGUCAUUCAAGAGCUUACGG